rnacentral:rRNA from 1 species
CGUACACUCCUACGGGAGGCAGCAGUGGGGAAUAUUGGACAAUGGGCGCAAGCCUGAUCCAGCCAUGCCGCGUGAGUGAUGAAGGCCCUAGGGUUGUAAAGCUCUUUCACCGGUGAAGAUAAUGACGGUAACCGGAGAAGAAGCCCCGGCUAACUUCGUGCCAGCAGCCGCGGUAAUACGAAGGGGGCUAGCGUUGUUCGGAUUUACUGGGCGUAAAGCGCACGUAGGCGGACUAUUAAGUCAGGGGUGAAAUCCCGGGGCUCAACCCCGGAACUGCCUUUGAUACUGGUAGUCUUGAGUUCGAGAGAGGUGAGUGGAAUUCCGAGUGUAGAGGUGAAAUUCGUAGAUAUUCGGAGGAACACCAGUGGCGAAGGCGGCUCACUGGCUCGAUACUGACGCUGAGGUGCGAAAGCGUGGGGAGCAAACAGGAUUAGAUACCCGGGUAGUCCCA